rnacentral:rRNA from 1 species
GACGAACGCUGGCGGCGUACCUAAUACAUGCAAUUCGAGCGGACUUUCAAGAAGCUUGCUUUUUGAAAGUUAGCGGCGGACGGGGGAGUCACACGUGCGCAACCUGCCUGUAAGACGGGGAUAACUCCGGGGAAACCGGGGCUAAUACCGGAUAAUACCUUUCUUCGCAUGAAGGAAGGUCGAAAGGCGGCGCAAGCUGCCGCUUGCAGAUGGGCCUGCGGCGCAUUAGCAAGUUGGUGAGGUAACGGCUCACCAAGGCGACGAUGGGUAGCCGACCUGAGAGGGUGAUCGGCCACACUGGGACUGAGACACGGCCCAGACUCCUACGGGAGGCAGCAGUAGGGAAUCUUCCGCAAUGGACGAAAGUCUGACGGAGCAACGCCGCGUGAGCGAAGAAGGUCUUCGGAUCGUAAAGCUCUGUUGUCAGGGAAGAACAAGUACCGUUCGAAUAGGGAGGUACCUUGACGGUACCUGACCAGAAAGCCACAGCUAACUACGUGCCAGCCGCCGCCGUAA